rnacentral:rRNA from 1 species
UGGAUUAGUGGCGAACGGGUGAGUAACACGUGGGCAAUCUGCCCUGCACUCUGGGACAAGCCCUGGAAACGGGGUCUAAUACCGGAUAUGACUGUCCGCCGCAUGGUGGAUGGUGUAAAGCUCCGGCGGUGCAGGAUGAGCCCGCGGCCUAUCAGCUUGUUGGUGAGGUAGUGGCUCACCAAGGCGACGACGGGUAGCCGGCCUGAGAGGGCGACCGGCCACACUGGGACUGAGACACGGCCCAGACUCCUACGGGAGGCAGCAGUGGGGAAUAUUGCACAAUGGGCGAAAGCCUGAUGCAGCGACGCCGCGUGAGGGAUGACGGCCUUCGGGUUGUAAACCUCUUUCAGCAGGGAAGAAGCGAGAGUGACGGUACCUGCAGAAGAAGCGCCGGCUAACUACGUGCCAGCAGCCGCGGUAAUACGUAGGGCGCAAGCGUUGUCCGGAAUUAUUGGGCGUAAAGAGCUCGUAGGCGGCUUGUCACGUCGGUUGUG